UAGUCAUAUGCUUGUCUUAAAGAUUAAGCCAUGCAUGUCUAAGUAUAAGCAUUUAUACAGCGAAACUGCGAAUGGCUCAUUAAAUCAGUUAUAGUUUAUUUGAUAGUACCUUACUACUUGGAUAACCGUAGUAAUUCUAGAGCUAAUACAUGCUAAAAGCCUUUACUUUUUCGGACGAGGUGCAUUUAUUAGAUAAAAAACCAAUGCAUGGGGGCAACUUCAUGGGAACGUGGUGAAUCAUGAUAACUUUGCGAAUCGCAUAGCCUUGAGCUGGCGAUAAUUCAUUCAAAUUUCUGCCCUAUCAACUUUCGAUGGUAGUGUAGUGGACUACCAUGGUGAUAACGGGUAACGGAGAAUUAGGGUUCGAUUCCGGAGACGAUGCCUGAGAGAUGGCAACGACUUCCAAGGAAGGCAGCAGGCGCGCAAAUUACCCAAUCUCAAUACGAGGAGGUAGUGACAAUACAUAACAAUACAGGACUUGAACAAAGUCUUGUAAUUGGAAUGAGUACAAUUUAAACCCCUUAACAAGGAAACAAUUG
rnacentral:rRNA from 1 species